rnacentral:pre_miRNA from 1 species
AUUCUACUCCCUCCGUUCCACAAUACAUGCCUUCUAUUUGUCAAAAUAUAGAUGUAUCUAGGCAUAUUUUAGUAUAUAGGUACAUCCAUUUUUGGACAAAUGGAAGUCAAGUAUUUUGGAAUGGAGGGAGUACACA